UACAGAGGUCUCAAGCGUUGUUCGGAUUCAUUGGGCGUAAAGGGUGCGUAGGUGGCGCGGUAAGCCGGGUGUGAAAUUUCGGAGCUUAACUCCGAAACUGCAUUCGAUACUGCCGUGCUUGAGGACUGGAGAGGAGACUGGAAUUUACGGUGUAGCAGUGAAAUGCGUAGAGAUCGUAAGGAAGACCAGUGGCGAAGGCGGGUCUCUGGACAGUUCCUGACACUGAGGCACGAAGGCCAGGGGAGCAAACGGG
rnacentral:rRNA from 1 species